rnacentral:tRNA from 1 species
AGCCCCGUAGUGUAGCGGUCAAGCACGAGGGACUCUGGAUCCUUCAACCCAGGUUCGAAUCCUGGCGGGGCUA